AGCUUUGCUUAGUGGUAGUAUUGUAGCCAAUGAUGUUUAUCCAAGGUGCUAUUAUUGCUAACUAAAAACUUUCCCAAUACCCCGCCCUAUAUUGAAAUAUAGUGGGCAGUGUCAAUUUUUGACAGUCUCUAUGGAGA